rnacentral:rRNA from 1 species
UACAGAGGGGGCAAGCGUUGUUCGGAAUUACUGGGCGUAAAGGGCGCGUAGGCGGCCCGCUAAGUCGAACGUGAAAUCCCCGGGCUCAACCCGGGAACUGCGUCCGAUACUGGUGGGCUCGAAUUCGGGAGAGGGAUGUGGAAUUCCAGGUGUAGCGGUGAAAUGCGUAGAUAUCUGGAGGAACACCGGUGGCGAAGGCGGCAUCCUGGACCGAUAUUGACGCUGAUGCGCGAAAGCCAGGGGAGCAAACGGG